UUAAAUAAAAACCCCACGUCGACAUUAAUCAACAUUUCCCUAAUACUUAAUUUCCGAACAGCUGUGAUGAAGAAUAGAAAAAAAAAACAGCAUGGAAGCACUAUAAAUACCCGGCCCUGUAGUCGGUCACACCACUGCGACAAAGCUUUGCAAGCUCUCAAAGAAAGAACAAUGAAGCAAAGCAUGUUUAUAGCCUGUGCAAUCUGUCUGUGCUUGUUAAAGAUGCCUUUUUCCUCUGCAUACGUGCCGAUACCGGGGAAUCCCUUUGGAAAGCGCUCAGCGGCAGUGAGGAUGGUGCAACUAAGGAGGGAAAUCUGCGGAAUGGCAUCAUCUCUAAAUUGCUGGAAAGAAGAAAAGGCAUCGGGCUUUACCCCAAAAGCUACUGCCGAGCCAACCUAUAAGAAUAAGCAUAGAGCUAAACCUUUUUUGUAAGAUUUGUAACACAGCCAAAACAGAAGUCCACCGGAGAUACUUAUGAAGAUUUUACGUUGAGCAGAUCAACCAAGCCAUUUUCUUUUGUAAAUAAAUACGAUACAAUUGGUAAUACUUGAUUAAAGAAAUUGAUAAUA